AAAAAAAAAGUUUGAUUCUGGCUUGAUUAAUUUAAAUAAUUUUUUUAAUUGUUAGCUAAUUUUAAUUUAGUUAUAUGGAAAUUUUUAUAUUUAUAUAUAAGUCUAAAUGGUUAGUUUUAUUUUCAGAACUUAAUUUUAAUUUUGAGUUAAUUCUUGAUUUAGAAUUUAUUAAUUAAUAUUGGAUAAUAUUGUGCCAGCAUCUGCGGUUAUACAAUAAAUAUAAGUUAAUUUUAUUAAAUUUUUAUUUAAUUUAAAUUGUUAUAGUUAUUUAAUCUAUUUUUAGGUGAAAUUUAAAUUUUUUUAAACUAUAUUUGGAAUUAAAUGAUAAAAAUUUAAAUUAAACUAGGAUUAGAUACCCUAUUAUUUUUUUUGUAAAUAUUUUAUGAUUAUAAGUUAUGAUCUUUAAAGUAAAAGAAUUUGGCGGUAAUUUAAUUUUUUAGAGGAACCUGCCCUAUAAUUGAUAAUCCACGAUAUAAUUAACUUUAAUUUAACUUAUAUAUCGCUGUCUUUAGGAAUGUUUUAUAAGAAUUAUUUUCUUUAAUAAUUAUAUUUUUCAUGUCAGGUCAAGAUGUAGUAAUAUUAAAGAAGAGGUGGGUUACAUUUAAUUUAAUAAUAUUUAAUUUUUUUAUAUAAAAAUUAUAAAUUGGAUUUAAAAGUAAAAUUUAUUAAUUUAUAUUUUUGAAUAUAUCUUAAAUUAUGCACAUAUCGCCCGUCGCUCUCACUAUAAGGUUAGAUAAGUCGUAACAAAGUAACCCUACCGGAAGGUGGGGUUAAUAAGACA
rnacentral:ncRNA from 1 species